rnacentral:lncRNA from 1 species
AAUAAAAAGGGAGGUAGGAAGAAAAAAGAAAAAAAAAAGAGGGAAAGAGAAGUCAUUACUUAAGCUGCUGAAGAAAAAUACACUGCAAUAUGCACCCAGCCCAAGAAGAGUGAAAUGGCACAGUGCUGGUGUAAUUGUAAACGGCUGUAGAAAAUACAAUCUUUCGUGACGAAUUCCCAGGCCAUGGUCUCCAUUUGUCAGGUAACAAGCUUACCUGCAAUGCAGAUAAGUAAAGCAUGAAAAGAUUGCUUACUAGUAAAGCCUUCCUCCACCUUUCCCCUCCCUCCCAUAGCCAGCACGUUCCCAUUGAACAUGUUCACAGACUUAGCCAACUUGUCUCUAUUGUCUGUCUGGUAAUUCACCUAUGGAAAAGGAGGUAUCAGAUGCUGUUCAACAGAGACUUGAAACUGAGCCUGAGCGUAAGAGGGAGAGCUCCGUUCCAAACAAACACGUGACCAGAAGCUGACAUACAUUACCAACAACAUAUGGAAAAGUUUGUACCUUUCUGAGCAGGCAGAUUUACAAGGUGAGCUCUCAUAAGCCCCUAAAGAGAGGAAGAUGCUUCCCUGUCUUUUGUAUGUUUUAGCAAUGAAAUAAAAAUCCUUUCAGAUCUAAAUCCAGCAAAUAAAGAUCUCCUCUUUCUUUACAUUUCUUUACAGAAGCUUUUGAACCUCUGUAUUGCUCUCAACUUUUUUCUUUCUUUUUAACUCAUUUUGGGAUAAUGAAAUAUGCCACAGUGCCUGAGCUGGAUCUCUCUCCCUCUCUUUCCUUUCUUUACCUUUCCAUCUCUCUCUCUCUCCAGGAGCAGUACAAGAGCACUGUGCUGUAGCCAUGGACCACCUGCUGACCGGACAUCUCAGAGGCUCUCCAACAGUUUACUUCUACAGCCUAUACUGCAAAAGCCAACAUCAGCAUCGCUUAGUAAGUUUGCAGAGAGAUGUAACUUCUCAUCUUCAACACAACUAGACUUGACAUGAAGAGCAGCAAAAAGAGAGAGUUCAGCAGUUUUCAGGACCACAUUGCUUAGUGACAUUCCCAUACAAUCCAAGGUAAGAGAAUUAAUCAAAUAACAUCUGACCCAAACCUUCACUUAGACUGGAAGAUAGCAGGGAAAAUAUGUCUGUAGGAAGGCCAGCUUUCCGUUCUUUCUUGUACAGAGCCUGACAGAAGAAAAAUAGGAGAAAAAUUCUUAUCUUCUAUCCAGAGGUCUCUAGAGAUUUUGAUUUCCCCUUGCAGUGGCCUCAGAGCAUCCACAUGACUGGACUUCAUGGAUUAUCUGGAUUAUAUUACAAUAUGGAUGUAAGUAGACAGUAUCAAAUUUUUUUCCAAGCAAAUAUGGUCGCCUUAUUUUACAGUUAAAGUAUGGGAAUGGCAUCCUGCCCCACUCUGUGUAAGAAAAAGCAAUAGCACAGAAAAAAUCUCUGACCUUGGUUUAUUCCCUCUACUGCACUUCCAACCCCCAUCCCUUCUUAACAGACCAUUCCUCUCUAAAACCUAAUUAAAAGAAAGGCUUGAAAAACUAAUUUAACCUCUCCUUAGUAUUUCUUCUAUCUCCCCAUGAGAAAUCCUAACUGGAGAGUUAGAAACAAAUCCAUCAAGAUUUUCACUUCAUUAAAUUGCAUAUGUCUUGAUCACAGAACUAAUGGGAGUCCAUUUAUCCUCUCAUUCCUUAUAUUACUUCAGAGCAGCAACAGGGGGCUGAUCUUAAGUCACACUAUUUCCUGACAAAGGCAUGUCAGUUCAGGACAUGUGUACCUCUAAACUAAAUUUUGCCCGAAUACAGAGACAAUGGAUCAGCUCAGUGCAGCAUCUCUUCUUUUCCUGCCAUACUAAAUUUUUAUUCAGCUUUCCAGCUGCUCUGACUCAGGUCGGUGACUUGCCCAAGGUUAAAAGCUGAGUCAGGAGCUUGGAAACCCCAUAAUCCUGCUGACUCCCAGCUCAGCUUGGGCCAUAGAAGCCCUCAGUGUCAACCCUCUC